GGAUAUAAGAAUGAUGGGAGCACAAUGUCUGUUACCCUGUAGAUUUCCAGAAAUGGUUGCAUUGAUCAUGCAGGCUAGGCAGGUGUCCCCUUCCUUCCUCACUUUUCCACGUCAGUCCCUCCCAACUCGGUGAGAGAGACAAACUUCCCAGACAGCGGAGGAUUACAGAGGAGGAACUUUAUUUUGGUCAAGGGUAUAUGUGUAGCUACUCUCUCCUGAAAGAAACAAACAACCGCUCAACAUUUAAAUUUACUUAGACACCCAAGAACUUUCCCAGAAAAUAUCCAAACAAUCAUGAGACUAUGAUUACUCU
rfam:Tupaia chinensis contig4456, whole genome shotgun sequence.